rnacentral:rRNA from 1 species
UACGUAGGGUCCGAGCGUUGUCCGGAAUUAUUGGGCGUAAAGAGCUUGUAGGCGGUUUGUCGCGUCUGCUGUGAAAAUCCGGGGCUCAACCCCGGACUUGCAGUGGGUACGGGCAGACUAGAGUGUGGUAGGGGAGACUGGAAUCCUGGUGUAGCGGUGAAAUGCGCAGAUAUCAGGAGGAACACCGAUGGCGAAGGCAGGUCUCUGGGCCACUACUGACGCUGAGAAGCGAAAGCAUGGGGAGCGAACAGG